rnacentral:rRNA from 1 species
UACGAAGGGGGCUAGCGUUGCUCGGAAUUACCGGGCGUAAAGGGAGCGUAGGCGGGUUAUCAAGUUGGAGGUGAAAGCCCAGGGCUCAACCUUGGAAUUGCCUUCAAAACUGAUAGCCUAGAGUAUGAUAGAGGUAAGUGGAACUCCGAGUGUAGAGGUGAAAUUCGUAGAUAUUCGGAAGAACACCAGUGGCGAAGGCGACUUACUGGAUCAUGACUGACGCUGAGGCUCGAAAGCGUGGGGAGCAAACAGG